UUGAACGCUGGCGGUAUGCUUAACACAUGCAAGUCGAACGGACUUGAGGGCAACUUCAAGUUAGUGGCGAACGGGUGAGUAAUGCAUAGGAAUCUGCCUUAUAGUAUGGGACGACCUAGGGAAACUUAGACUAAUACCGUAUAUUAUCGAGAGAUGAAAGCAGCAAUGCGCUAUAAGAGGAGCCUAUGUCGGAUUAGCUAGUUGGUAGGGUAAAGGCCUACCAAGGCUACGAUCCGUAGCUGGUCUGAGAGGACGAACAGCCACACUGGGACUGAGACACGGCCCAGACUCCUACGGGAGGCAGCAGUGGGGAAUAUUGGACAAUGGGCGAAAGCCUGAUCCAGCAAUACCGCGUGUGUGAAGAAGGCCUGCGGGUUGUAAAGCACUUUCGGUAGGGAAGAAGAAUGGGCAACCAUUUUGACGUUACCUACAGAAGAAGCACCGGCUAACUCUGU
rnacentral:rRNA from 1 species